CUCUUAACAGGAAGCUUCUAAGUCAACCCAAUAUGGAUUUUGAUGAUGUCUUCCUAAAGGCUAGAGUUUCCGAUUGUGACACACAAAUCGAAUAUCAUUAUUAGGAUUACGAUAAAAUCUAUAAUAUAUUUUCUGCUCGUUAUGAAUUUCAUAAUGAUCUAUUUCCUAUAACAGUCCUCGACGAAGAUGAUAUUAUUGCAGAGCAGUGUACUAUGUUAUAUAUGGAUAUUAAUCGUUCAUGGGAACCACUAUUAUCCGCUGCUUUAGGCUAUCCCCUAUAAAUUUGCUUUGUUA